CACCAGCAAGGUGUCCUCCCUCCUCCCGAGCUGCGGGGACAGAGAGAGGGCAGCGGCUGCCCUGCCCCUCACAGGCCUGGUUGUGCCUGGUUGUGAGGCCGGUGACAACCACAAUUCUGUGACCGGAGCGCCACCUUCAGACACCUCUCUGCUGGCGUGUUCCUGAGUUCAUGAUGGAAGAGGGAAACCUCACACUUUGCCACAUAAAAGGCCUGCAGAUUGGAAAACUCUACUUGCACGACUUAGCUCACUGCCCCAGGCUUAAUUGCCACCACGCUGCUACCUGUGUCCGGCUCUAGCCAACCAUGAGCACCAGAAGUCUUAUGAACAGGCCUGACUUUCCUGCAUUUUCUGAAGCCCUUCCCCUCCAUCACUAACCCUCAUCUUUGUCAAAACAUUUCCCAUGGUCAAGUGGAUCCAUCUCUUAAUAAAGCCUUUCUUGAGAUCCCCAA